GGCGCGAUGGCGAAGUGGUAACGCAGGAGUCUGCAAAACUCUCAUGCGAGGGUCCGAUUCCCUCUUGCGCCUCAA
rnacentral:tRNA from 1 species